GAUGAACGCUAGCGGCAGGCCUAAUACAUGCAAGUCGAACGGUGUCUUCGGACAUAGUGGCGCACGGGUGCGUAACACGUAUGCAACCUACCUUACAUUGGGGGAUAGCCUUUCGAAAGGGAGAUUAAUACCGCAUAAGACAGUAGCUGGGCAUCCAGCAGCUGUUAAAGAUUUAUCGAUGUAAGCUGGGCAUGCGUCCAAUUAGCUAGUUGGUGAGGUAACGGCUCACCAAGGCAAUGAUUGGUAGGGGAACUGAGAGGUCAAUCCCCCACACGGGCACUGGGAUACGGGCCAGACUCCUGCGGGAGGCAGCAGUAGGGAAUAUUGGGCAAUGGACGCAAGUCUGACCCAGCCAUGCCGCGUGCAGGAUGAAGGCGUUAUGCGUUGUAAACUGCUUUUAUACAGGAAGAAACGACUCUUGCGAGAGGCAUUGACGGUACUGUAUGAAUAAGCACCGGCUAACUCCGUGCCAGCAGCCGCCGUAAUAC
rnacentral:rRNA from 1 species